rnacentral:rRNA from 1 species
AUUGAACGCUGGCGGCAGGCCUAACACAUGCAAGUCGAACGAGUGGCGGACGGGUGAGUAAUGUCUGGGAAACUGCCUGAUGGAGGGGGAUAAAUACUGGAAACGGUAGCUAAUACCGCAUACCAUCAGAUGUGCCCAGAUGGGAUUAGCUUGUUGGUGGGGUAACGGCUCACCAAGGCGACGAUCCCUAGCUGGGCUGAGAGGAUGACCAGCCAAACUGGAACUGAGAUACGGUCAAGACUCCUCCGGGAGGCAGCAGUGGGGUAUAUUGCACAAAUGGCGCAAACCUGAUGCAGCCAUGCCGCGCGUAUGAAGAAGGCCUUCGGGUUGUAAAGUACUUUCAGCGGGGAGGCGUUACCCGCAGAAGAAGCACCGGCUAACUCCGUGCCAGCAGCCACGGUAAUAC